UACGUAGGUGACCAGCGUUGUCCGGAUUUACUGGGCGUAAAGAGCGCGCAGGCGGUCGUUCAAGUCAAGUGUGAAAGCCCCCGGCUCAACUGGGGAGGGUCACUUGAUACUGAUCGACUCGAAGGCAGGAGAGGGAAGCGGAAUUCCCGGUGUAGUGGUGAAAUGCGUAGAUAUCGGGAGGAACACCGGUGGCGAAGGCGGCGACCUGGGUAGAUACUGACGCUGAGGUGCGAAAGCGUGGGGAGCAAACAGG
rnacentral:rRNA from 1 species